UCUCCGUUGGUGAACCAGCGGAGGGAUCAUUACUGGAAUCGCAAGACUCCCAACCCCUGUGAACGUACCGAAACGUUGCCUCGGCGGGCCUCUGGGAUUCGUCCCAUGUCCGCCGGCGGCCCCUAUAAACUCUGUUACUUAUAAGCAAUCUGAGCGUUUUCCAAAAAUAAAGUUAAAACUUUCAACAACGGAUCUCUUGGUUCUGGCAUCGAUGAAGAACGCAGC
rnacentral:misc_RNA from 1 species